GAUGAACGCUGGCGGCGUGCCUAAUACAUGCAAGUAGAACGCUGAAGCUUGGUGCUUGCACCGAGCGGAUGAGUUGCGAACGGGUGAGUAACGCGUAGGUAACCUGCCUCUUAGCGGGGGAUAACUAUUGGAAACGAUAGCUAAUACCGCAUAAAAGUCGAUAUCGCAUGAUGUUGAUUUGAAAGGUGCAAUUGCAUCACUAAGAGAUGGACCUGCGUUGUAUUAGCUAGUUGGUGAGGUAACGGCCCACCAAGGCGACGAUACAUAGCCGACCUGAGAGGGUGAUCGGCCACACUGGGACUGAGACACGGCCCAGACUCCUACGGGAGGCAGCAGUAGGGAAUCUUCGGCAAUGGGGGCAACCCUGACCGAGCAACGCCGCGUGAGUGAAGAAGGUUUUCGGAUCGUAAAGCUCUGUUGUAAGAGAAGAACGAGUGUGAGAGUGGAAAGUUCACACUGUGACGGUAACUUACCAGAAAGGGACGGCUAACUACGUGCCAGCAGCCGCGGUAAUACGUAGGUCCCGAGCGUUAUCCGGAUUUAUUGGGCGUAAAGCGAGCGCAGGCGGUUAGAUAAGUCUGAAGUUAAAGGCUGUGGCUUAACCAUAGUACGCUUUGGAAACUGUUUAACUUGAGUGCAGAAGGGGAGAGUGGAAUUCCAUGUGUAGCGGUGAAAUGCGUAGAUAUAUGGAGGAACACCGGUGGCGAAAGCGGCUCUCUGGUCUGUAACUGACGCUGAGGCUCGAAAGCGUGGGGAGCAAACAGG
rnacentral:rRNA from 1 species